UUGGAGGGCAAGUCUGGUGCCAGCAGCCGCGGUAAUUCCAGCUCCAAUAGCGUAUAUUAAAGUUGUUGCAGUUAAAAAGCUCGUAGUUGAAUUUCGGGAUCAGAGUGUCGGUCGUGCCUCGGUACGCACUGGUAUUAUUGGUUCCUACCUUCUGAAGAACCGCGAUGUCAUUAAUUUGGUGUCGUGGGGAAUCAGGACUGUUACUUUGAAAAAAUUAGAGUGUUUAAAGCAGGCUUACGCUUGAAUACAUUAGCAUGGAAUAAUGAAAUAGGACGUUUGAUUCUAUUUUGUUGGUUUCUAGGAUUGACGUAAUGAUUAAUAGGGAUAGUUGGGGGCAUUAGUAUUCAAUUGUCAGAGGUGAAAUUCUUGGAUUUAUUGAAGACUAACUACUGCGAAAGCAUUUGCCAAGGAUGUUUCCAUUAAUCAAGAACGAAAGUUAGGGGAUCGAAGACGAUCAGAUACCGUCGUAGUCUUAACCAUAAACUAUGCCGACUAGGGAUCGGAUGAUGUUAAUUUUUUAAUGACUCAUUCGGCGCCUUACGGGAAAC
rnacentral:rRNA from 1 species